rnacentral:tRNA from 1 species
GGCUCCAUCGUCUAGUGGCCUAGGACACUGCGUUCUCAUCGCAGGAACAGGGGUUCGAUUCCCCUUGGAGCUA